AGAAGAAGAAAAUGCUCAACUGUGCUUCACUGGAAUAUACAAUAAGGAAACAUCCGAGGUAAGUCCUGAACUUGGAGAAAUUACUAUUUCUGAUUAUCUUGCUUUACAUAAUGAAAAUCAAAAGCUUAAAAAGAAAACUGCUUAUUUUAAGAACUGCGUAAAUGAGCUAAUGAAUGAAGUUGAGUCACUUAUUGAAGAAAGAAAAGAAAAUGAAUAUCUUAAAAAUGAAAAUCAAAUUUUAAAAGAAAAAUUAAAAAUGAGAGAUGUAUGCAUAGAUGCUUUUAAUGAUGGAAAAAUUAUGAAUAUGCAACAUGAUGAUAAUGUAAUGAAUGCAGAAAUAGCAUCUUUAAAAAAUGAUCUUGCUAAAU
rnacentral:lncRNA from 1 species